AACGAACGCUGGCGGCAUGCCUAACACAUGCAAGUCGAACGAGACCUUCGGGUCUAUUGGCGCACGGGUGCGUAACGCGUGGGAACCUGCCCUUAGGUUCGGAAUAACUCCCCGAAAGGGGUGCUAAUACCGGAUAAUGUCUUCGGACCAAAGAUUUAUCGCCUUUGGAUGGGCCCGCGUUGGAUUAGCUAGUUGGUAGGGUAAAAGCCUACCAAGGCGACGAUCCAUAGCUGGUCUGAGAGGAUGAUCAGCCACACUGGGACUGAGACACGGCCCAGACUCCUACGGGAGGCAGGAGUGGGGAAUAUAGGACAAUGGGGGAAAGCCUGAUCCAGCAAUGCCGCGUGAGUGAUGAAGGCCGUAGGGUUGUAAAGCUCUUUUACACGGGAUGAUAAUGACAGUACCGGGAGAAUAAGCACCGGCUAACUACGUG
rnacentral:rRNA from 1 species